AAACACCAGGCCGGAAGCCAGUUAGGGUUCCGGAAUCUGUAAUCACAAAGAAGGCGUGGCCACAGGUGCUCAGAGCAGGAGGCUGGCUGAUCGCAGUUUCUCACAGGAGAAGCUGAGGGAGUCAGCUGUGAGAGAGGUGAGGCUCUAAGGUGGUGACUCUCAGCCUCCCUAAAGCUGCGACCCUUUAAUACAGUUCCUCAUGUUAAGAAUGGAUCAAUGAGUCAAUCAUUCAUGCGGAAGGCUACAGUCAAAUAUCCAAACACAGAAUCGCAGUGUUGACUGAUGGUUUCCACAGGGAUAUAGAAGUCAUCAAAGUAACAGAGAACACCCGUAAAAUUUACCUGAUAGACAAAAAUAGGCGUGUCUUCAGACUGACUGGCUCUGAAGGGUAAGUCAAGUCUAUUCAGAACAUCCCCUGAACUCGAUGAAAAAAGAAUUACAUUUUCAUAGGAAGGACAAGAAUGCUUAUAGACAAUUGAAAGAUAACAGGCGCCACUGUGGGGAAAUCUAAUAGAAACAAGGGUGUGAGGAAAAGAGUAUAGCUCAGUGCUUCUCAACCUGGGGGUGAGAUGACCCUCUCACAGGGCUUGCCUAAGACCAUGGAAAUACCAGACACAUUGCGGUUCUUGGUGGUAGCGAAAUUACAGUUAUGAAGCGGCAAUGAAAACAAUUUUAGUACAUGAACUGUAUUAAAGGGUCGUGGCGUUAGGAAGGUUGAGAGCCACUGGCGUAGAUGGUGAACGUGGAAAAGUUUUGAUUUGGAUACAAACUUGCAUUUUAAUUAGGCUAAGAGAGAGCUGUUUGUCUACUCAAGUGAUCACGUGGGAUCACGGUUUGUAGCACAGUCCAAGUGCUAAAGUUGUUGGCAUCUCGAAGCUGAUGUAGGGAACUAGAAAAAUGCUCAGAAUUAUUAAUACAUCGAUGGUUCAUUGACACCGAUGAGAUGGGCUGUAUAAGGUGAAAGGGAAAGAACAAAGUCAGCAUGGGAUAUAGUGGGAUACAGCGUGUAGAUACUUAUCAGAGGGAAUCCGCGGAGCCAUGUUGACUGGCGGUUGGAUAAAUGGAUCCAGAGGUGAGAAAGGGGACGUGGGCCAGGAACAGUGACAAGGAG
rnacentral:lncRNA from 1 species